UAGGGAAUCUUCGGCAAUGGACGAAAGUCUGACCGAGCAACGCCGCGUGAGUGAAGAAGGUUUUCGGAUCGUAAAACUCUGUUGUUAGAGAAGAACAAGGACGUUAGUAACUGAACGUCCCCUGACGGUAUCUAACCAGAAAGCCACGGCUAACUACGUGCCAGCAGCCGCGGUAAUACGUAGGUGGCAAGCGUUGUCCGGAUUUAUUGGGCGUAAAGCGAGCGCAGGCGGUUUCUUAAGUCGGAUGUGAAAGCCCCCGGCUCAAACGGGAGGGGUCAUUGGAAACUGGGAGCCUUAAGUGCGGAGGAGGAGGGUGGAAUUCCAUGUGUAGCGGUGAAAUGGGUAGAUAUAUGGAGGAACGCCAGUGGCGAGGGCGGCUCUCUGGUCUGUAACUGACGCUGAGGCUCGAAAGCGUGGGGAGCAAACAGG
rnacentral:rRNA from 1 species